rnacentral:lncRNA from 1 species
GAUUGACCUGAAAUUUUUGGCAUGAUUGAUCCAAAAUGCUGAGAAAUUAUUAGGCAAACCCAAACUACCAACUUAGUAGUAGACUAAACCAGUAAUCUAGCAUCACAUUAGUUGAGCUUGUUCCCACUAUUCUCCCAGUUCCCCAUCAAUCACAAUGCACCCUCUAGGGUUCUUGAAAGAAAGGUAAAAGAAUAUUUGCUGCCCCUAAAAUCUUCAUUUUUCACACUAGGGUUCUGAUUCCUUUCAAUUUCCCUUGAAUUCCACCACCAUACUAAUCUUCGAGAUAACGGAGGAGGUCAUGAAGG